AUGGGGCAUGCUGGGAGACAGGGUGCUGGGCUUAGUGGGUCAGUGAGAGGAGGUGUUAGAAAGGAGCGGCUGCUGGUAGUUAAGUCACCACUGGCACCUUGCUCUGAGAAUCGUGCACCAGAAUGUGACUCACCACUGCAGAAUCAAGAGGAGCUCCAGGCACGAGGAAGAUUAAGGGUGGAUGCAGAGAUAGGUGAGUGCAUGCACAGCAGUGCCCUAGUGCUUCUUUGCAUGCGUGUUUUCCAGCAUAAUGAAAGUGUUGGUGUCUCUAGUGGGCAGCUCCAGUGGGCAGCACCUGCGACCAGUGGGUCUGAACCUGACUUGGUUCCUUCUGUUCUGGUGGUUAUGUUGUCUGUGCAGAGGAGCCCCGUGCAAAGAAUGGUGCUCCGUCCAAAGGAAGAUGUGCUUGCCCUCAGUCAUUUGCUACUGAGGGCCUCCCAUACCUUUCCCCAAGCCUAUGUGGGCUCUGGCAUGGUAAGCAGGGUGCUCCUCCCUUCCUCCUUGUCUUCCUGAAGAGAUUGUGGAGAAGGAGAAUGGUGAGUUGGACUGUCCCUUGGCAAGGCAUGUCUUCCAGCAGUUUGCAGGUUUAUUUGUCAUGGUGUUGUGCUGGUGGUGGAGAUGUGUGUGUUGGAGUGUGAUGAGAAUGCAGGGAGGGGCUGUGGAUGGAAGAGGCUUUGGAGGAAAGACAGAGCUGGGGAGCAUGGAGAUGGAGGGCCUGGACCCUGAGCAGCCCUUUAUGUUGCUGGGGAUGUGGAGGCUGGUGUUGGUGGCAGAAGUCCAAGCCUGGUGGUGGGGGAUGUGUGUGUCAGUAUGUCAGGGCAUGAAGCAAAGUCUACCCAGAGAAACCUUUUGCUAGAGGCAUGGGUGGGAAUUGCCAGUGGGCUGUGGCCUGGGACCUUUGUUUCUUGCGCCUGACUUGUUGUCUUCUUUUGUGGUGGCUGUGGUGUCUGUGCAGAGGAGCUCCGUGCCAAGUCUGGUGAGUCCUUGUACUUGCACUCAGUCAUUUGCUACUGAGGACCUCCCAUACCUUUCCCCAAGCCCGUGUGGUUUCUGGCAUUGUAAGCAAACUGUUCCCCCUUCCUCCUUGUCUUCUUUCAGUGAUUCUGGAGAAGGAGAAUGGUGAGUGAGAGUCUGCUCUGGCAAGGCAUCCCUUCCACCGGUUCGCAGGUUUAUUUUUCAUGGUGUUGUGCUGGUGGUGGAGAUGUGUGUGUAGGAGUGUUUGGAAAGGAUGAGAGUGCAGGAGGGGCUGUGGAGGGAAGACAGAGCUGGGGAGCAUGGUGUUGGAGAGCCUGGGCCCCGAGCCACUCUUUAUGCUGUUGAGGAAGUGGAGGCUGUUGUUGGUGGCAGCAAUGCAAGCCAGGUGUUGGGGGAUGUGAGUGGUGGUGUGUCAGGGCAUGAGCCAUAAUUCCUCCAGAGAAGGCUUUUGCUAGAGGCAAGGGUGGGAAUUCCCAGUGGGCUGUGGCGUGGGACCUGUGUUUCUUGGGCCUGACUUGUUGUCUUUUUUUGUGGUGGCUGUGGUGACUGUGCAGAGGAGCUCCGUGCCAUGUCUGGUGAGUCCUUGUGCUUGCCCACAAGUGUUCCUGAUGGGGAUAAGGCCUUGGGGAUGGUGAGGAGGGCUAUUCCAGCCAUACUAAGUGUUCCCCGACAGUUUCAUGUGCAAGCCUGCCGCUUCUCCAUUCUCUGUGUUCCUGCUCCAAUGCCUCUUUGCAUGUGUAUUUUUCAGUAUAAUGAAGGUGUUGGUGUAGUGUGAGUGGGCCUUUAUGAAGGCAUCCCACACUUUUUUCCAACUCUAUAUGGAGGAUGUGUUAUUCAGCAAGGUUUCCUUCCUUUCCUCCUUUCUUUUUGCAGGGACCCUGAAGAAUGAGAUUGGUGAGUGAAGCUGUUCUACUGUUGGCCAACCAUGUCACCAGUUGGCAGGUUAUUGGGUCAUGAUGUUGUGUUUGAGGAGGUGUUGUGUGGAGGAGUCUUUGGAGCACAUGAGGGUGCAGAGGGGGCUGUAGUGGGAAGGCUGAGGCUGAGGCACCUCCAGAAUCCUAUGCUGAUCAUCGAUGGGUUGGAAUGUCCAAGCCUGAAUGUCCUUGAAUGCCCAUGGUGAGAAGUCUGUCUGAGGAAGAACUGUGUGAAGGAUUUGCUUCUUGUGCUUUCCUGCACCGUACUCUCCCACAUUUUCUAUUUGCAGAACUGCUGGCAUGUGUUCUUAACAAGUAUAUCAGAGGAGCUCCAGGCACAAGGCAGUGCAAGGAGACCUACAAACAUUUUCUACAGGGGAAAAUGCUUUAGAGAUGCUGAGGAGGGCUAUUCCAGCAAUGCCAGUUUCCUUC
rnacentral:lncRNA from 7 species